CACGUAGGCGGACUGGAAAGUUGGAGGUGAAAUCCCAGGGCUCAACCUUGGAACUGCCUUCAAAACUAUCAGUCUGGAGUUCGAGAGGGGUGAGUGGAAUUCCGAGUGUAGAGGUGAAAUUCGUAGAUAUUCGGAGGAACACCAGUGGCGAAGGCGGCUCACUGGCUCGAUACUGACGCUGAGGUGCGAAAGUGUGGGGAGCAAACA
rnacentral:rRNA from 1 species